AUUGAACGCUGGCGGCAUGCCUAACACAUGCAAGUCGAACGAGUGGCGGACGGGUGAGUAAUGUAUGGGAAACUGCCUGAUGGAGGGGGCUAACUACUGGAAACGGUAGCUAAUACCGCAUACCGUCCGCUGGGCCCAGAUGGGAUUAGCUUGUUGGUGGGGUAACGGCUCACCAAGGCGACGAUCCCUAGCUGGUCUGCGAGGCUGACCAGCCACACUGGAACUGAGACACGGUCCAGAAUCCUACGGGAGGCAGCAGUGGGGAAUCUUGCACAAUGGGCGCAAGUCUGAUGGAGCCACGCCGCGUGUAUGAAGAAGGUCUUCGGGUUGUAAAGUACUUUCAGCGGGGAGGCGUUACCCGCAGAAGAAGCACCGGCUAACUCCGUGCCAGCAGCCGCGGUAAUAC
rnacentral:rRNA from 1 species